UCGAGAAUCUUCGGCAAUGGGCGAAAGCCUGACCGAGCGAUGCCGCGUGCGGGAUGAAGGCCCUCGGGUUGUAAACCGCUGUCGUAGGGGAGGAAGGUUUCGUGAAGAGCGGAAUUUGACCUAUCCUAGGAGGAAGUACGGGCUAAGUUCGUGCCAGCAGCCGCGGUAACACGAACCGUACGAACGUUAUUCGGAAUUACUGGGCUUAAAGGGUUUGUAGGCGGCUUUGUAAGUCAGGUGUGAAAGCCCUCGGCUCAACCGAGGAACAGCGCUUGAUACUGCAAGGCUUGAGGGAGACAGGGGUAAGCGGAACUGAUGGUGGAGCGGUGAAAUGCGUUGAUAUCAUCAGGAACACCGGUGGCGAAAGCGGCUUACUGGGUCUCUUCUGACGCUGAGGAACGAAAGCUAGGGUAGCGAACGGGAUUAGAUACCCCGGUAGUCCUAGCUGUAAACGAUGAGCACUUAUCUGAGGAUCCUCCCAUAGGUUCCCGGAUGUAGCGAAAGUGUU
rnacentral:rRNA from 1 species